rnacentral:lncRNA from 1 species
GGGUAUGAUUCAAGUAUGAAAAUAUUAUCAAAUUUAGAUAUACAAUGCACGUAUCCACUAGUUGUUGAGAUUCGUCCUAUGUUUUCGGUUUUUCCACUCGCAGAUGUAACAAAAUGUGGUUCCUUGCGUCCGUUAGUCAGAUGAACAACUCCAGCGAACUACUUCAUUCGCUCACGGGAUCAUCUCUUGAAUGAUUCGGCCAUCCUUGAUCGAUCGACAAGAGGAGGCCACCAGGCGAACCUG